UACGUAGGUGGCAAGCGUUGUCCGGAAUCAUUGGGCGUAAAGCGCGUGUAGGCGGUCCGGUAAGUCGGCUGUGAAAGUCCAGGGCUCAACCCUGGGAUGCCGGUCGAUACUGCCGGACUAGAGUUCGGAAGAGGCGAGUGGAAUUCCCGGUGUAGCGGUGAAAUGCGCAUAUAUCGGGAGGAACACCAAUGGCGAAGGCAGCUCGCUGGGACGUUACUGACGCUGAGACGCGAAAGCGUGGGGAGCAAACAGG
rnacentral:rRNA from 1 species